rnacentral:rRNA from 1 species
AGAACGAACGCUGGCGGCAUGCCUAAUACAUGCAAGUCGAACGAAGGCUUCGGCCUUAGUGGCGCACGGGUGCGUAACGCGUGGGAAUCUGCCCCUUGGUUCGGAAUAACAGUUGGAAACGACUGCUAAUACCGGAUGAUGACGAAAGUCCAAAGAUUUAUCGCCAAGGGAUGAGCCCGCGUAGGAUUAGCUAGUUGGUGAGGUAAAGGCUCACCAAGGCGACGAUCCUUAGCUGGUCUGAGAGGAUGAUCAGCCACACUGGGACUGAGACACGGCCCAGACUCCUACGGGAGGCAGCAGUAGGGAAUAUUGGACAAUGGGCGAAAGCCUGAUCCAGCAAUGCCGCGUGAGUGAUGAAGGCCUUAGGGUUGUAAAGCUCUUUUACCCGAGAUGAUAAUGACAGUGUCGGGAGAAUAAGCCCCGGCUAACUCCGCGCCAGCAGCCGC